rnacentral:lncRNA from 1 species
ACAUUGACUCUGGUUCUUGGGAGCGAGCUCGGGGGGUCUGCCCCGCUGCACCUUGAGGAUCACCCAGGCUGCUCCUCAGCUCCUUCCCAGCUGGGACACUCCAGGCAGGGAGCUGGGGCCACCCUGCACAUCCAGGGGAGCCUCUCCAAGGCAAGGAGCAGGAAACUCUCCCAGGGAGAAAAGGAUCCCUGGAAAAAGCUGAAAUCUAAUCCUACCUUGGUUAACAUAACAGAGAGAACAGGAAGCGCUGUGAAGGAAUUUUUCAUUCCCUGGGACGUCUUUGAUCCCGCUCCCCUCCCUUUUCCUAUCAGAUCCCUUUCGGUGCCUUUCUCCAUAGGGAAUUCCUGGCUCUGUGCAAGGAGCUCAGACACCUUUCCCAGGAGAAAACUCCAGCAGGUUUGGAACACAAUCUUCCCUGAACGGAUCAGCACCUGGAGCUCUCCCGUGGAUGAGCAAAAGGGAUUAAUGAAUUUUCAUUAUUUGCCAACACAAAGUCAUAUCCUAGAGGUGACAACAUCCAGAAUUUUCCAUCUGACCCACCCAACCUUUCAGAUCUUCCAGCUGUUCCAAGGGCUUUGUUGGGUUAAGUGCAGAAAGGGCUGGAGGCAAAGCUGUGUUUUGUACUCCACCAUAUCGCUUCCAUAGACCAGUUAAAGGUGUAAAUAAUAGAAACAACUUCUUUCAAAACUGCAAUUAAAAAAGAGGGGGGGAAAAAAAAAAAUCUCAGAGUAAUUAAACUUAAUUUUGUUUCUAAUUAGAUGCUGGUUCUAGAAACCAGUCCAGAGCUACUCUUUGCAUGGUGUUUGCAAGUUCUCUUUACCAGAUGAGCUCCUGGAGUGACAAGUGGAGAUCUAAUAAACCUCCUGAUCCUGCUCUGCCCCUGUGAUAA